rnacentral:rRNA from 1 species
AUGCCGCUAGUGACAGAUAAUCUGCAUUUAAGGCUACCAGAGGUAGCUCGUGGUCCUGCGAGUGGGAGGAACCACAUCAUAUUGAUAGUUGCAUCUGAUGUGCUGGUGCUGAACAGUGCUAUUUUCGCGAGCCCCACAUGUUGCACUCGCUCAUACAGCAGCAUGAUGCAUGUCCUCUGGUGUCUAUGCAUUGCUAGUGUAGAUGUGCCCACUAGUGUCCCCUUUACAGAUGCACCUAGUGUGUGGUUCAGUGAAUCAUGUAGACAGAACAGUACAGUGAAUCCAUAUCUCCAGUCUGAUCCAUGUACAUGUCUGUUUCAGUUUAACUGUCUGUAG